CGCAGGGUAGGGAAGUCCGGUCAUCCCGUUUGGCUCAUAACCAAGAGGUCGCGGGUUCGAAUCCCGCCCCUGCAA
rnacentral:tRNA from 1 species